GCCGAUGGUACGGGCUGAUAAACCUGCUUCCCUCUAGAAUGGGGAAGUAGGUUUGGGCUGACAGGAGGGAGUGAUGAAUUGGCUUUAACUGUCACACUUCAGUCAUGAUGAGCAAAACAUCUGAGGAGUCGAACAGCUAAUGACCAGCUGGAUUAUUUCAUCCCGCGAUCAGCCAUGAGCACCUUUGUUUUGCCUCCUGGCUGUAACUUUGCGAGUCACGACAGGAACUCUGACAGCGGCUGGGACCUCACUCAGACCCUUCCUCGAGCUCUGUCCUCUGACACUCUCAGCACCAUGACGUACAGCAUCUCUGAAAGUCAAAGCGACGAGUCCAACCAGCAGCUCAGCCAUUCCCAGUCUCUCGUCUUCCCUGAGAAUGGCAAGCUCAUGCAGCCGUACAGAGACUACACGUGUAAUGUGACCAACAUCGUGGUGGAGCCACCGUCUCCAGCCAGCUCCCUGACAGUGAGAGCUGCACGCCGGUAAGACCACACACCUAACCC
rnacentral:lncRNA from 1 species